rnacentral:lncRNA from 1 species
CACUGGCCAUCUCGGGGUUUUCCUGCUUUGCUUGUUUGCUGAGAGCUCCUCAGAGAGGAAGCUGCUGGGACCGCCCAGCCCUCACCAUGACCCCAGUGCCCCACCCACAGAUCAUCAUGGGCUUGGAAUGAGCCCUGGAAGGAGGCCACCAGAGAAACCAUAGAAAGAGACAGCAGGAAAUAAGUGGAAGGCAAAUUGGGAAGUGUCAGGCCCCAGGGAAAGCUGCUUUCGCCACCAGGCCAGCUCUCAGGGUUCGGCAGCUAAGAAGAGAUGAAGACGGAAAGCAGGAGCUCUCCGAUGUCCCCCGAAGAAAACCCCCAUUCUUUGGACGCCACAGAGAAGGGCCAGGCCCUCGUCGGUAAAGGAGGAUGGGGGUGAAGGCGGAGACCUGAGGUCCCUCUGCUUCCUGAAGUGACUUCCAAUUCAUCGUACUAUUUUUAGCUGCAACCUCACCCACGUUUCCAAAAGUACUUGGGGUCACCAAUUGCUGCGUCAUCUGGUGGACUCUGAAUAUUCCCCCGCCUAACUCCCUCGCCACUUACUUUCUCAUGUGCUGCUAGAGGAUUCAGCUUGUUCAGAUCUCUUGAUCCACUUACCACAUAUUUAUUCUUAGAGAUCCACUUUUUGGGGGGG